CAGGGAGAAUGAAUGUGAGGCAUAGGCUGCGUCUUGAAACCUAGUAAGCCGCCUACCUAGACAGCAUUUUUGGGUGUCAAUGCUAUGUUCUGUAUGUGUCUAGCUAGCUAGCUCACUAGUUAUUUUAGACACCGCCAUAAACAACAGAUAUCAAGUCAUCAUUUCAGCCACCAUUUUUUUCUUAUGGCGUAAAUAAAUUUAAACGUUAUUACUGUGCAUUAUUUGAGUAUUAGAGCGAUCUUUUCUUUAUGCCUGUUUUUUUAGGCAGUAAAACAGUCUUCUGGGUCCUGUUCUUCGACCGUGGUUUAACAUAUCCCGGAUUGACCUAGCUCGAUCUGAAAUUGAGUUUUUUCGGCUCUUCUAACACAUAUUUCGGAUUUAUGUAUCUAGCUAAUAAAGACAGCUGACCGUUCAUGUGAGGAUUUAUACAUUUGUCUAUCAUGGCUAAACAGCGUGCUGCAUUUUUCAGUGCUGCUGAAUUGCAACUUAUAAUGGAAGGAUAUGAGGAAGUUAAACAUUUAAUAAAAACCAAAGGGAACACUAUAGCGGCUGCAAAAGUCCGUCAGGAUGCGUGGCGAAAAAUAACUGCCAAAUUAAAUGCAUCCAACCCUAUGGGACCUAGAAGAACGUGGCAACAAGUGAAGACGAAAUACAAGAACAUCGUUCAAAGUGCUAACAAGAGAAAGGCUGCACUGAAGAAGAUGAGACUAGUCCCAACAAAAGAGGAGCACAUGGAUGAAGAGGAGCUGCCCCCUGAGAACAAUGUGGACAGUCCUAUCAUAGCGAGCAUAGUUGGUGGCUGCUGGUCUGAUCCAGGAGAUACAGCUGGCUGCAGCAGUUAUGUCACAGUGACUGAACAUGGACUGGCCCUACUUCAGCCACCUGUAUUAUCAGAUGAAGAGCUGGACUCUGAACCUGUGGAAGAUGUUAAGACACUAUACAAGAAGUAUCUCCAAGUAGAGAUCUCCAACAGAAAGCAAGAAAUGGCAUACAGAGCUUUAAAAAUGUGCAAAGUGGAGAAGGAAAUUCAGUUAUUGGACUGGAAAUUGGAUGCAAGCUGAUCCUUCAUGUUGAAAAUAAACCUUUUUUUUAUAUAAACCUACUGUGUUCCUUUCAAUAUUUAAAAGUCACAAGUCACAGCAGUUAUGUGCAGCAAGA
ensembl:lncRNA